GAUUCAUUGGGCGUAAAGGGUGCGUAGGUGGCGCCGUAAGUCAGGUGCGAAAUUUCGGAGNUUAACUCCGAAACUGCAUUUGAUACUGCGGUGCUUGAGGACUGGAGAGGAGACUGGAAUUCACGGUGUAGCAGUGAAAUGCGUAGAUAUCGUGAGGAAGACCAGUGGCGAAGGCGGGUCUCUGGACAGUUCCUGACACUGAGGCACGAAGGCCAGGGGAGCAAACGGGAUUAGAUACCCCGGUAGUCCUGGCAGUAAACGGUGCACGUUUGGUGUGGGAGGAUUCGACCCCUUCUGCGCCGGAGCUAACGCGUUAAACGUGCCGCCUGGGGAGUACGGUCGCAAGAUUAAAACUCAAAGAAAUUGACGGGGGCCCGCACAAGCGGUGGAGUAUGUGGCUCUAAUUCGAUGCAACGCGAAGAACCUUACCUGGCCUUGACAUGCAUCUCUAAGCGCGUGAAAGCGCGUGACUCCCGAAAGGGAGAAUUUGCACAGGUGCUGCAUGGCU
rnacentral:rRNA from 1 species